GACGAACGCUGGCGGCGUGCUUAACACAUGCAAGUCGAGCGGUAAGGCCCUUUCGGGGUACGACGAGCGGCGAACGGGUGAGUAACACGUGGGUGACCUGCCCUCAGCUCUGGGAUAAGCCUGGGAAACCGGGUACUAAUACCGGAUAUGACUCCAUGACGCAUGUUGUGGGGUGGAAAGCCUUGUGCGGCUGAGGAUGGGCCCGCGGCCUAUCAGCUUGUUGGUGGGGUGAUGGCCUACCAAGGCGACGACGGGUAGCCGGCCUGAGAGGGCGACCGGCCACACUGGGACUGAGACACGGCCCAGACUCCUACGGGAGGCAGCAGUGGGGAAUCUUGCGCAAUGGGCGAAAGCCUGACGCAGCGACGCCGCGUGAGGGAUGACGGCCUGGUGUAACUAC
rnacentral:rRNA from 1 species